UACGUAGGGUGCGAGCGUUAAUCGGAAUUACUGGGCGUAAAGCGUGCGCAGGCGGUGAUGUAAGACCGAUGUGAAAUCCCCGGGCUUAACCUGGGAACUGCAUUGGUGACUGCAUUGCUGGAGUAUGGCAGAGGGGGGUGGAAUUCCACGUGUAGCAGUGAAAUGCGUAGAGAUGUGGAGGAACACCGAUGGCGAAGGCAGCCCCCUGGGCCAAUACUGACGCUCAUGCACGAAAGCGUGGGGAGCAAACAGGAUUGAGAA
rnacentral:rRNA from 1 species